GUCUGUGAGGAGCAGCCCAGGAUGAGAGCAGACAGCAUACAGAGCACUGCAGACACCAUUGUAACUGGUCUCGGCAUCGCUGUGGCUCCGCCGUCGGUCCCCACCUUGCAAGCUGUCACCAACCCCACCAGCGACAGCCUGCCUCCCCCUCCUCCCCCUGCUUCGGACGUGGACCCCAGUAUGCCUUCUCCUCCACCACCACCUCCCCCUUCCUCCAUGGACAAUGGCCUCCCCCCUCCGCCCACCUUGACCUCACCCACAAGUCUACCCCCACCUCCCCCUCCACCAUCAAAUGGUUUCUACGUGCCUCCGCCUCCCCCCGUAGCAGGAGGUGCCCCAAUUCCUCCUCCACCACCCCCACCUCAAACAUUAUUUGGAGCUGGUACUCUUCCCCCUCCGCCUCCUCCUCCACCAGUGUCAGGAGCCGCGCCGCCUCCUCCUCCUCCUCCUCCACCGCCCCUUCAUACUGGCACAUCAGGUACUGUGCCACCUCCCCCUCCCCUGUAUUAA
rnacentral:lncRNA from 1 species